rnacentral:rRNA from 1 species
AUAUUCAGAUAGCCAUGCAUGUGAUCAGUGCAGUCCUUGUACGACGAAACUGCGAAUGGCUCAUUAAAACAGUUAUCGUUUAUUUGGUAAUCAUCUACUACAAGGAUAACUGUAGUAAUUCUAGAGCUAAUACUUGCGUUUUCCCGACUUCUCGGAAGGGAUUGCAUUUAUUAGAUACAAACCAAUCAGUGGUUUACCACUGUUAAAUGGUGAUUCAUAAUAACUAAGCGAAUCGCAUGGGCUCGCCCGGCGAUAGACCUUUCAAGUUUCUGAUCUAUCAGCUAUUGACGGUAGGGUAUUGGCCUACCGUGGCGAUGACGGAUAAAGGGGGAUUAGGGUUCGACUCCUGAGAGGGAGCCUGAGAAACGGCUACCACAUCUAAGGAUGGCAGCAGGCGCGCAAAUUACCCAAUCCUGACACAGGGAGGUAGUGACAAGAAAUAACAAUACAGGGCUUCACAGUCUUGUAAUUGGAAUGAGUAGAUUUUAAAUCUCUCUACG